rnacentral:rRNA from 1 species
CUUGCGGUCAUAUCAAUGCUAAAACACUGGUUCCUGUAUGAUCACUGAAUUUAAGCAAUGUUAAGCCUGGUCAGUAUCAAGGUGGGUAACCACUUGGGAAUGACAGG